rnacentral:rRNA from 1 species
GUAGGUGGCAAGCGUUGUCCGGAAUUAUUGGGCGUAAAGCGCGCGCAGGUGGUUCUUUAAGUCUGAUGUGAAAGCCCCCGGCUCAGCCGGGGAGGGUCAUUGGAAACUGGGGAACUUGAGUGCAGGAGAGGAAAGUGGAAUUCCACGUGUAGCGGUGAAAUGCGUAGAUAUGUGGAGGAACACCAGUGGCGAAGGCGACUUUCUGGCCUGUAACUGACACUGAGGCGCGAAAGCGUGGGGAGCAAACAGGGAUUAGAUACCCUGGUAGUCCACGCCGUAAACGAUGAGUGCUAAGUGUUGGGGGGGUUUCCCGCCCCUCAGUGCUGCAGCUAACGCAUUAAGCACUCCGCCUGGGGAGUACGGUCGCAAGACUG